GGACUCUCCGGGACGACAAGUCCAUACAAAGAGGCGACGGUUGACAGGAACCCGGUGCGACUCCGGGACGGUCCCGCCACUGUGACCGCGCGCAUCCCGCGCGCGGAAGUCAGGAACUGACCCGUCGUCCUCCUGCCAU
rnacentral:ncRNA from 2 species